rnacentral:rRNA from 1 species
AUUGAACGCUGGCGGCAGGCCUAACACAUGCCAGUCGAGCGGAUGAAGGGAGCUUGCUCCUGGAUUCAGCGGCGGACGGGUGAGUAAUGCCUAGGAAUCUGCCUGGUAGUGGGGGAUAACGUCCGGAAACGGGCGCUAAUACCGCAUACGUCCUGAGGGAGAAAGUGGGGGAUCUUCGGACCUCACGCUAUCAGAUGAGCCUAGGUCGGAUUAGCUAGUUGGUGGGGUAAAGGCCUACCAAGGCGACGAUCCGUAACUGGUCUGAGAGGAUGAUCAGUCACACUGGAACUGAGACACGGUCCAGACUCCUACGGGAGGCAGCAGUGGGGAAUAUUGGACAAUGGGCGAAAGCCUGAUCCAGCCAUGCCGCGCGUGUGAAGAAGGUCUUCGGAUUGUAAAGCACUUUAAGUUGGGAGGAAGGGCAGUAAGUUAAUACCUUGCUGUUUUGACGUUACCAACAGAAUAAGCACCGGCUAACUUCGUG